rnacentral:lncRNA from 1 species
UGACUAUGGAAAUUCAGUAGGAUCAUAGGGAAACCCCAGAAUCUCCUUGAGGUCAUAUUUGUUGCCUUUACUAUGAUUUAUUAAAAGUUCCGAGAGACUCUGUGAUCUGUGCUUCAAUUAAGGAUCUGACUAAAUCAGAGCUGGACACAGAAGUCCUGGAAUGGAAGAGAAACUGCAAAUAUCAUCAUGCAGAAUUUUCACUUCUUCAGUUUCCUGAGCUCAUAGGUCACAUUGCUUUUUUACUGGAAUCUCUACCUGGCUCAGUAACCAAGGCAACAAAUCCCUGGUUAAUGAUUCACUAGAAAUUCACUGUGGAGGUGGCUUAUUAGUUUUUUUCCCCAAGAACUGAGAUAAAAAGCUUGCUUGUGAUUUUUUCAUCUAUUUCUCUUUUCUCUUACUUGUGAUCCAGACAACCUAAAGUAAAUUUAAUUAAAAUCAAAAGACAGAAAU